GAGAGAAAUACAGAUUGAGAGAGAGAGAGAGAGAGAGAGGACUGGAGCAGGACUUGUGUAAAAGGGUCUGAAGUCCUGCGUUGCGUAGCCUACUCCACCACCACGUCUACGCACCACCACUGCUGCUCCGAAAAGUCGAUUUUCCACCAGAUAGUUGAGUUUUUACAUGGCGGAUGUGAAGAAUACUAACAGGCAUCGACACACCCUGCUGACGGUCCGGGACUCUGCCGAGCAGUGGGCGAGGCACCCUGAACUCUGCCGGACCGAUCGGAGGAGCAGGAGCGACCCGGCCGGUGGGCAAGGAAUUUGAGCACCUAAAGCAGGCGAAAUGAAGUAGAAGGCCUGGCCGUUUCCUGGGCCACAGGUUUCAAACCCUAACCCUCUCUGGCUGACUCCCAGCAGCCCCUCACCCUCCAAGGCCCCUAAUGGCUGACACACAGCAGUUCUUCACUGGCAAGCUUUAUGUUCCUGUACACAUGCUAAAGCUGCCAGCUGAAGAACUGCUCUGGUCUGCCCUGCGCCGGACGACUCAAGAAGAGGAAGCGGAUGGGGGGAUGGGGGGUGGUGGGAGAUGUUGGUGGGAAGAAGACUGAGGAAGUUUUCCACUCACUCCGGAGUCAGAUUUGACAUGCAAGAUUUGAACAACCAUUGUUUAUAUUUAUGCAUUUGAUGUGUCACUUUCAGUUUGUGGUCGCACAUAUUGUUGAGUUCUCUCUUUAAAAACCUUCUUAAUGGUGUUUUUCUGGUCCUUCAAUAAAGAAAUAAAACAUGUCUUGUAUUUUUUGUUAUUGUUGUGUACCCUAUGGGAAAUAAAAGACAUACCAAUACUGAA